CGGGAUGUAGCACAAUUUGGUAGUGCACUUGCUUUGGGAGCAAGGGGUCGCAGGUUCAAAUCCUGUCAUCCCGACCA
rnacentral:tRNA from 1 species